CUACGUAGGGGGCGAGCGUUGUCCGGAAUGAUUGGGCGUAAAGGGCGCGUAGGCGGCGCGGUAAGUCUGGAGUGAAAGUCCUGCUUUCAAGGUGGGAAUUGCUUUGGAUACUGCCGCGCUUGAGUGCAGGAGAGGUUAUCGGAAUUCCCGGUGUAGCGGUGAAAUGCGUAGAGAUCGGGAGGAACACCAGUGGCGAAGGCGGGUAACUGGACUGCAACUGACGCUGAGGCGCGAAAGUGUGGGGAGCAAACAGGAUUAGAUACCCUGGUAGUCCACACUGUAAACGAUGAAUGCUAGGUGUAGGGGGUAUCGACCCCUUCUGUGCCGCAGUCAACACAAUAAGCAUUCCGCCUGGGGAGUACGGCCGCAAGGUUGAAACUCAAAGGAAUUGACGGGG
rnacentral:rRNA from 1 species